rnacentral:rRNA from 1 species
UGGGGAAUAUUGGACAAUGGGCGGAAGCCUGAUCCAGCAAUGCCGCGUGUGUGAAGAAGGCCUGCGGGUUGUAAAGCACUUUCGGUGGGGAGGAGAGGCUUUGGUUAAAUAAACCGAAGCGGAGACGUUACCCACAGAAGAAGCACCGGCUAACUCUGUGCCAGCAGCCGCGGUAAUACAGAGGGUGCGAGCGUUAAUCGGAAUUACUGGGCGUAAAGGGUGCGUAGGUGGUUUAAUAAGUUAGUUGUGAAAGUCCAGGGCUUAACCUUGGGACUGCGGCUAAUACUGUUAGGCUAGAGUACUGUAGAGGGAGGUGGAAUUUCCGGUGUAGCGGUGAAAUGCGUAGAUAUCGGAAGGAACAUCAGUGGCGAAGGCGACUUCCUGGACAGAUACUGACACUGAGGCACGAAAGCGUGGGGAGCAAACAGG